AACGGCAUGCCCGCAGGAGCGGUAAUACAGAGGGUGCGAGCGUUAAUCGGAAUUCCUGGGCGUUUAGCGUGCGUAGGCGGUUUAUUAAGUCAGAUGUGAAAGCCCCGGGCUUAACCUGGGAACUGCAUUUGAAACUGGUCAACUAGAGUAUGGUAGAGGAAAGUGGAAUUUCUGGUGUAGCGGUGAAAUGCGUAGAUAUCAGAAGGAACAUCAAUGGCGAAGGCAGCUUUCUGGACCAAUACUGACGCUGAGGUACGAAAGCGUGGGUAGCAAACAGGAUUAGAUACCCUGGUAGUCCACGCCGUAAACGAUGAUAACUAGCCGUUGGGGGGAUUUACCCUUUAGUGGCGAAGCUAACGCGUUAAGUUAUCCGCCUGGGGAGUACGGCCGCAAGGUUAAAACUCAAAGGAAUUGACGGA
rnacentral:rRNA from 1 species